CACGUAGGAGGCGAGCGUUGUCCGGAAUCAUUGGGCGUAAAGAGCGCGCAGGCGGCUUGGCAAGUCGGGUGUGAAAUCCCGCGGCUCAACCGCGGGUCUGCAGUCGAUACGGGCAGGCUAGAGUUCGGUAGGGGGAGACUGGAAUUCCUGGUGUAGCGGUGAAAUGCGUAGAUAUCAGGAGGAACACCGGUGGCGAAGGCGCUCAUCUGGCCCAAUACUGACGCUGAUGCGCGAAAGCCAGGGGAGCAAACGGG
rnacentral:rRNA from 1 species